CCUCAGAGUAUUCCCGAACAGCUUGCAAGCCCCUGGAGGGGAUCUGCAUGUGCUCGGAGCCCUGCCUCCUCAGCUCAGCCCCUGUGCCUGGUCCCUGCUCGGCAUGACGGUGUGAGACGCCCUGCUUCGCAGCAGUCAGCUCCGCCACCGACCGCACGCUGCGCACCACGGAAACCUUAGAGGGUGCUUCGGAGCGGUGAUUUGCAAUCGGUGCCCCCAGUCCUAGAAAGGGAUCUGGCCAGGGACAGGGAAAGGGUUGCCGGCAGUGGGGGCAAUGUGUGACCACCAGGGUUUUGGUCCGCACCCCGAGGCCGCGCGUUAACCAAUGCAGGGAAAAGCAGACCGAUUGAUCCGGGAUUGAGGUCAUCAGGCUUGAAUCUUAAUGGACUCUUGUAGCUGCACGAUGAAGUUUCAGCCCUUGGCCUGGCAUUUAGGCGUCUACCUGGUGGGGCCCAACCAUAAAAGCCUCAGGCACUGGGACAGCCCUGGUCUAAGGAUUUGGUCUAUUCCCAGGGCGAGUCUCCACUGCUGUUCUGGGUCUGUGUUCGUCUCUGCCCUGAGGUUGGAAACUUUGCCUGAUAUUUCUCUGCAUCCGUGUGUCAGACACAGUUGUUGUCUCAAUAAAUGUUGAAUGAAUGAAUCAAUCAAUGAACAUACCCUCAAAGUUAGGCAAACUCCUCUGGUACUACUUCCAUUUUCAGAUGAAUAACCUGGAGCCGGAAAGGGCCAUCUGCAAAUUCCAUUUGGACAACAUCACCAUCUAUCACAUCGUAACUUAGAAUGUACCAAUCAGAGAUAGCUUGUGGCUGAACUGCUGGCAACGACAGAGAUCGACCAGGCUGCCCAGCAGAAGGAAACUUCUAUGCUCUCAGACACUCAUUUUGUGGACCACUUCACUCAUUUGCACCACCUGUAGUUACUGCUGCCAAGGCUGCCCCUGGAAGAAGCCAUGAAAUGAAGAGUGGCCAAGGGGUUGAUUUCAUGGUUAGUAAGCAAGGGUAUGAGCUAAUGUGCAUCCACUACAUAAAGGAUGGCCCUCUAAAUCCUGAAAUCCUUUGCAUAUGCAUGUGGAGAUCAUCAAUAAAAUUCGUACAGAGGGACAGUGAAUGUGGUUUAGGGAAAAGCAAGAGGCAUUUUAUAAGGUCAAGAGCCUGCCAGCCAAGGACACUGGAUUCCUGUUGGAACUCUAAUCAGUUUCUCUCCAAAGCCAAUAUUCAUGCUUGCCUGAUACUUGCUUCUAACCAAACAGGAGGGUAAUUCUCCUGUUGGGGUCCCGAAAGCUUGACAACAUGCCUUGUCUGGCAGCUGGGGAAAGGAGAGCCUCCCUCUAGUUGGAAAUCCUCUUUGGGAGCAUUGGGUAAUGACAGGGAGAGGUCCUUCCCUCUGGUGAUUGAGAAAUGAGCACAUGGAUGAAAUCCAGGAUCCUGGGCUGGGAAAUCUCCAUAGCAACACAUUCCUGCUCUAACCUUUCUUGGUCCAAAAUUUCCAAACCAGACCUUUCUACAGAACUCGGAGGUGGGAGGAUGUGCUUAUUACUAAGAGAGAGUCUUGGCCUCUUCUCUCUCUUCAAAUCCCACCACGUACCCCACAGAUUUAUAAGCAUGCACCAGGUGUCCACAUGCACACAUAUACCCAUAGAUCUUAAAGGAGAAAUUCCUUCCAUGCUUCUGACUCUCAGGUCAGAUAUCUUUAUCCCAAGAGACCUCAUGUGAUGAGAAAAGAGAAUUAACAGAGUCUUUACUUGUAAAUACAGUAGCUAUUUCAAAAGGAAAACAAGAAAGUAAUUUCUUCCCAAAAUGAUGACUCUGGAUCUGCUGGAGGAGGAGAGUCCAUCUCUGUGUUUGCCCUAUGCCUAGCUGCAUGGACAGUGAACCCUGGAAACCAACCAAGACAAGCCAAACAACCCUUGCUAAGCUGCUGGAAGGUGCUGGUAGCAGGGUGGUCUUGAACCACAUUGUGAAGAUAUAAAACCUGCGGUAUCCAUGGAGUGGGAGAGUCCAGUCAACCAAAGGGACAAACCUGGGCAAAAAUGGGGAGAAGAGCGCAGCUGGCAAUUCCACAAGUCAUCAGCAGAUAGAGGAAUGUCUAGAUUGCUCGGUCUCGGACUUAGCAUGAAUCAGAAACAUCUGGAAGAUUUGUUCCCUGAAUCCUAGCAUCACUUGGGGACUUGCUAGAGCCCCAAAUCUUGACACCAACAAGUAACCUCCAGACCCCAUCUGGUGGAGCCUCCUAAUCAGACUCUGAUAGUUGACUUUUACACAAGUAGACUGCUCUAUGAGCACAUCUUAUUCUCAAAGCACUCUGGAAUAUUUGGUGAGUGUUGAUGCUUCUACUCUGCUAAGGAGGAAACAGAUCCACAGUGGGUCAUUGGCUCACCUAAGGUCACCCAGCACAUUAGCAGGAGUUCCAGAAUUGAACCCAAAGCUCCUGAGUCAUGGCCCAGUGACAAACCCCAUUUCACCAUGUGGCUAUAAAAAGAUCCAUCUCUGGAGAGAGCCUCCUCCGAGGUUUGCUGAGAUAAGCCAAGUUCAGGGUGCUGUGCAUGUGCCUUAACUGGGCAGUGAGCCACCAGCCACCUGACAGGAGGAGUGACUGUCCAGAGGAGAGGAAAGAGGGGAAUGCCUCAAGGAGGAGGUGUAAAAGGAAGUGUUUUGCCUUGGAUAGCUGAAGGUCAGAUCAAGACAUGACAUAGCUAGUCUGUGAGAAAAAUCUUUUUUUCAAUUGCACAAAUAUUUAUAACAUUUGCCAGUUCUCUUGGUGUAAAUAUGAGGCCACUGGACACAGAAUUGAGAAGACGUGUGCACAAUCAGCUCCAGCCAGCCACUGCCCCAACCUCACCUCCCACUCCCCAUCUUUAGGCAAGGACCAUCAAUUUGUACUAAUGGUGAAUUUUCCAUCCAGAGCUAAUCAUGUGUGAUGCCCAUCCCAAAUAAGUAAGGAUUCUAAUGCCAUUGUGGACAAAGUGGGUAUGAGUAUUAUCUUUGUCAAGUUAUGUUUGGAAAUAAACACAGCCUUACCAUUACAACAUCUGCUCCACAGUUUAAAGGUCAAGGGCAUGACACUGCCUGGCUUUUAAUCCUUGUUUUGUUACUUACUAGUUCUGUAACCUUAGGCAUUUACUUAAUUUCUCUGUGCCUUAGUUUCCCCAUCUAACUAAAGGGAAUAAUAAUAAUAAUACAGAUCCCAUCGGUGAUUAUGAGUCUUAAACUAUCUAGAAGAUAGAAAGCCCUUAAAAUAGUGGCUGGUAAAAGUAAGCCCCCAAUAAAUGUCACAUAUCAUCACUAUUUGUUGAUAGAUGGAAGGUACUUCUGUGAACACAUGGGGAAGGUAAGGGAAGUUGCACUUAGAUCAUUCUCAGGUAUAGUGAGGAUCAGGAAAACACAUAAAGAAUGAUAGACUCUCUGAAAAAGGGUGUUGAGGACUUUUAGUCCAAGCUCCCACACAAUGAGGAAAUCCCUUCUGCUACACCAAUUUCUUUUUUAUCUAAUUUAAAUUCAAAUAGCCAAUGUAGUACAUCGUUAGUUUUUGAUAUAAUGUUCAAUGAUUCAUUAGUUGCUACACCAGUUUCCACUGGAACAUCUCCAAUGACAGGAUUUCCUUCUGAAGGUUGCUUCUUCCAUUGUUAGCUUUGCCCCCAAUUCUGAAUCAAAAGCAACCUCCAUGUGCCCUCCUUAAUACCCUGUGAUGAGCACUGGGUGUUACACGUAAAUAAUGAAUCAUUGAACACUACAUCAAAAACUAAUGAUGUACUAUACAGUGGCUAACUGAACAUAAUAAAAAUAAAUAAAUAAAUAUCAUUUUUUUUUAAAGUGCAAAAAACAAAAACAAAAACAAAACAAAACAAAAAAGCGACCUCCAGGAGUGUACAGUUCAUUGCUUCUAGUUGGUCCGGCUGGAACCACAUGGAAAAGUUUGAUCCCUCCUUUCCCUAAGGAGAAAUAAGUUCAAAUUUCUGGAUUAUCACCAGCAGUAACCAACUCUGUGAACCAGCUCUAAAUGCAAGCUGUGUUAGUUCACAGAGUUGAGUGACUGAAACCUAGCUCUCUGAUGAUCUCAAUGCUCAAAACCACUGGACAACUCCUCAGGCCCCGUGGGUCAGGUACAAUCACGUUCCCAUUCUGGGUGACCCAUUCUGUUCACCAUUGGGAGUUGCCCAGAGAGGGUUAAAGUGGCACAGUUCAGCUUAAAUGUCACCCUUUGGUUUGGGGAACAGAGGGCACUUUGAUUAAGAGUCCCACUGGGACUGCACACAGUGAGAAUGAAGUAGAUCUCAAAAAACAAAAACUUAAACCAUAAUAGUAAGGUGGUGGGAGGGUGAUGUCUUUUUUUUUUUUUAAUUUUAAUUUUUUUUUAUUCUUAUGUUAAUCCCCAUACAUUACAUCAUUAGUUUUAGAUGAAGUGUUCCAUGAUUCAUUGUUUGUGCACAACACCCAGUGCUCCAGCAGAAUGUGCCCUCCUCAAUACCCACCACCAGGCUAACCCA